GAUGAACGCUGGCGGCGUGCCUAAUACAUGCAAGUCGAGCGAACAGACGAGGAGCUUGCUCCUCUGACGUUAGCGGCGGACGGGUGAGUAACACGUGGAUAACCUACCUAUAAGACUGGGAUAACUUCGGGAAACCGGAGCUAAUACCGGAUAAUAUAUUGAACCGCAUGGUUCAAUAGUGAAAGACGGUUUUGCUGUCACUUAUAGAUGGAUCCGCGCCGCAUUAGCUAGUUGGUAAGGUAACGGCUUACCAAGGCAACGAUGCGUAGCCGACCUGAGAGGGUGAUCGGCCACACUGGAACUGAGACACGGUCCAGACUCCUGCGGGAGGCAGCAGUAGGGAAUCUUCCGCAAUGGGCGAAAGCCUGACGGAGCAAGGCCGCGUGAGUGAUGAAGGUCUUCGGAUCGUAAAACUCUGUUAUUAGGGAAGAACAGAUGUGUAAGUAGCUAUGCACGUCUUGACGGUACCUAAUCAGAAAGCCACGGCUAACUACGUG
rnacentral:rRNA from 1 species